UACGUAGGGUGCGAGCGUUGUCCGGAAUUAUUGGGCGUAAAGAGCUCGUAGGCGGUGUGUCACGUCGGCCGUGAAAACCUGGGGCUUAACUCUGGGCGUGCGGUCGAUACGGGCAUCACUAGAGUUCGGCAGGGGAGACUGGAAUUCCUGGUGUAGCGGUGAAAUGCGCAGAUAUCGAGAGGAACACCUGCGGCGAAGGCGGGUUGCUGGGCUGAUACUGACGCUGAGGCGCGAAAGCCAGGGGAGCGAACGGG
rnacentral:rRNA from 1 species